CAGUAGCCGCGGGAAUACAGAGGGUGCGAGCGUUAAUCGGAUUUACUGGGCGUAAAGCGUGCGUAGGCGGCUAAUUGAGUCGGAUGUGAAAUCCCCGAGCUUAACUUGGGAAUUGCAUUCGAUACUGGUUAGCUAGAGUGUGGGAGAGGAUGGUAGAAUUCCAGGUGUAGCGGUGAAAUGCGUAGAGAUCUGGAGGAAUACCGAUGGCGAAGGCAGCCAUCUGGCCUAACACUGACGCUGAGGUACGAAAGCAUGGGGAGCAAACAGGAUUAGAUACCCCGGUAGUCCCUGUCUCUUAUAU
rnacentral:rRNA from 1 species